rnacentral:rRNA from 1 species
CAGUAGCCACGGUAAAACGUAGGUGGCAAGCGUUGUCCGGAAUUAUUGGGCGUAAAGCGCGCGCAGGCGGUUUCUUAAGUCUGAUGUGAAAGCCCCCGGCUUAACUGGGGAGGGUCAUUGGAAACUGGGAGACUUAGAGUGCAGAAGAGGAGAGUGGAAUUCCAUGUGUAGCGGUGAAAUGCGUAGAUAUAUGGAGGAACACCAGUGGCGAAGGCGACUCUCUGGUCUGUAACUGACGCUGAGGCGCGAAAGCGUGGGGAGCAAACAGGAUUAGAUACCCCGGUAGUCCCUGUCUCUUAUA